GCAGCAGAUUCCAAACCAUACGAGAGUGAAAUUAGAGCAUAAGAAUGGGAAGAAGUCCAGUGUAGUAAAGAUGCCCAGAGAUAAGAUAUCUUCAAUAUCCUCUACCCAAGACAUGGCAGGGCUAGCUACAGGGAUCACAGGAAAUUUGUGAUGGAGCUUGCUACAGUAGAAUCUUGAGGGU